GUCACUUUGGCCGAGUGGUUAAGGCGCGGGCCUGCUAUAUUCAUCACGUGAUGAUGAUUAACGCAUAGCUCGUCUCUUCGGAGGCGCAGGUUCGAAUCCUGCAGGUGACG